CAGUAGCCACGGGAAUACAGAGGGUGCAAGCGUUAAUCGGAUUUACUGGGCGUAAAGCGUGCGCAGGCGGUUCGUUAAGACAGAUGUGAAAUCCCCGGGCUCAACCUGGGAACUGCAUUUGUGACUGGCAAGCUAGAGUGUGGCAGAGGGGGGUGGAAUUCCGCGUGUAGCAGUGAAAUGCGUAGAUAUGCGGAGGAACACCGAUGGCGAAGGCAGCCCCCUGGGCCAACACUGACGCUCAUGCACGAAAGCGUGGGGAGCAAACAGGAUUAGAUACCCCUGUAGUCCCUGUCUCUUAUAC
rnacentral:rRNA from 1 species